AUUGAACGCUGGCGGCAUGCCUUACACAUGCAAGUCGAACGGCAGCGCGGACUUCGGUCUGGCGGCGAGUGGCGAACGGGUGAGUAAUGCAUCGGAACGUACCUUUCAGUGGGGGAUAACGUAGCGAAAGUUACGCUAAUACCGCAUAUUCUGUGAGCAGGAAAGCAGGGGAUCGCAAGACCUUGCGCUGAUUGAGCGGCCGAUGUCAGAUUAGCUAGUUGGUGAGGUAAAGGCUCACCAAGGCGACGAUCUGUAGCGGGUCUGAGAGGAUGAUCCGCCACACUGGGACUGAGACACGGCCCAGACUCCUACGGGAGGCAGCAGUGGGGAAUUUUGGACAAUGGGCGCAACCCUGAUCCAGCCAUGCCGCGUGAGUGAAGAAGGCCUUCGGGUUGUAAAGCUCUUUCGGCCGGGAAGAAAUCGCAUGGGUUAAUACCCUGUGUGGAUGACGGUACCGGAAUAAGAAGCACCGGCUAACUACGUGCCAGCCGCCGCUGUAACAC
rnacentral:rRNA from 1 species